rnacentral:rRNA from 1 species
UACGUAGGGUGCGAGCGUUAAUCGGAAUUACUGGGCGUAAAGUGUGCGCAGGCGGCAGAGCAAGUCGAGUGUGAAAGCCCCGGGCUUAACUUGGGAAUUGCGCUCGAAACUACUUUGCUGGAGUGUGGCAGAGGAAGGUGGAAUUCCACGUGUAGCGGUGAAAUGCGUAGAUAUCUGGAGGAACACCGGUGGCGAAGGCGGCAUCCUGGACCGGCAUUGACGCUGAGGCGCGAAAGCCAGGGGAGCGAACGGG